UACGGAGGGGGCUAGCGUUGUUCGGAAUUACUGGGCGUAAAGCGCACGUAGGCGGCUUUGCAAGUCAGAGGUGAAAGCCCGGGGGCUCAACCCCGGAAUUGCCUUUGAGACUGCAUCGCUAGAAUUGUGGAGAGGUAAGUGGAAUUCCGAGUGUAGAGGUGAAAUUCGUAGAUAUUCGGAAGAACACCAGUGGCGAAGGCGACUUACUGGACACAUAUUGACGCUGAGGUGCGAAAGCGUGGGGGAGCAAACAGG
rnacentral:rRNA from 1 species